rnacentral:rRNA from 1 species
AGCGAACGCUGGCGGCAGGCCUAACACAUGCAAGUCGAGCGCCCAGCAAUGGGAGCGGCAGACGGGAUAGUAACACGUGGGAACGUACCUUUCAGUUCGGAACAACCCAGGGAAACUUGGGCUAAUACCGAAUACGUCCGUAAGGAGAAAGAUUUAUCGCUGAAAGAUCGGCCCGCGUCUGAUUAGCUAGUUGGUGAGGUAAUGGCUCACCAAGGCGACGAUCAGUAGCNGGUCUGAGAGGAUGAUCAGCAUCACUGGGACUGAGACACGGCCCAGACUCCUACGGGAGGCAGCAGUGGGGAAUAUUGGACAAUGGGCGCAAGCCUGAUCCAGCCAUGCCGCGUGAAGGAUGAAGGCGCUCUGCGUCGUAAACUUCUUUACUCGAGAAAAUUGUUGGGUUUCUACCUGACUUGAUUGUACCGAGAGAAUAAGGACCGGCUAACUUCGUGCCAGCCGCCGCUGUAAG